AUUGAACGCUGGCGGCAGGCAUAACACAUGCAAGUCGAGCGGAGGGGCGGACGGGAGAGUAAUGCAUAGGAAUCUGCCUGGUAGUGGGGGAUAACGUCCGGAAACGGGCGCUCAUACCGCAUACUAUCAGAUGAGCCUAGGUCGGAUUAGCUAGUGGGUGGGGUAAAGGCCGACCAAGGGGACGAUCCGUCACUGGUCUGAGAGGAUGAUCAGGCACACUGGAACUGAGACACGGUCCAUACUCCUACGGGAGGCAUGAGUGGGGAAUAUUGGACAAUGGGCGAAUGCCUGAUCCAUCCAUGCCGCGUGUGUGAAGAAGGUCUUCGGAUUGUAAAGCACUUUAAGUUGGGAGGCGUUACCAACAGAAUAAGCACCGGCUAACUUCGUGCCAGCAGCCGCGGUAAUAC
rnacentral:rRNA from 1 species